CUAAUACAUGCUAAAAAUCCCGACUUCGGAAGGGUUGUAUUUAUUAGAUUAAAAACCAAUGCCCCUCGGGGCUCUCUGGUGAAUCAUGAUAACUAGUCGAAUCGACAGGCCUUGUGCCGGCGAUGGCUCAUUCAAAUUUCUUCCCUAUCAACUUUCGAUGUUUGGGUCUUGUCCAAACAUGGUGGCAACGGGUAACGGAGGGUUAGGGCUCGACCCCGGAGAAGGAGCCUGAGAAACGGCUACUACAUCCAAGGAAGGCAGCAGGCGCGCAAAUUACCCAAUCCCGACACGGGGAGGUAGUGACAAUAAAUACUGAUACAGGGC
rnacentral:rRNA from 4 species